GCGAAAGAAAUAUUUACCUUGCUAAUUAAUCAAGGAUAGACAGUUCAUUAGUUACAGACCAGAUAACUAAGAGUCUGCCUGAAAUCAUCAUGAAUAUAGUAAGAUGAACUGGAAGAGAUACUUCAUUAUUCCUUCUCAGAUGGCCUGGCCAUGAACUCGCAUCCUCUUGCAAUUUGCAGUUAGCAUCAGUAUUCUGUGUUUUAACUUUUGUGAGUAGGCCCAAGCUUAUCAUGAGUUUCAGAGUCAUCAAUCCAGGGGCCUGGAUU